rnacentral:rRNA from 1 species
GGUGGGCCUAAACAUGCAGUCGAACGGCAGCACAGGAGAGCUUGCUCUCUGGGUGGCGAGUGGCGGACGGGUGAGGAAUACAUCGGAAUCUACUCUGUCGUGGGGGAUAACGUAGGGAAACUUACGCUAAUACCGCAUACGACCUACGGGUGAAAGCAGGGGACCUUCGGGCCUUGCGCGAUUGAAUGAGCCGAUGUCGGAUUAGCUAGUUGGCGGGGUAAAGGCCCACCAAGGCGACGAUCCGUAGCUGGUCUGAGAGGAUGAUCAGCCACACUGGAACUGAGACACGGUCCAGACUCCUACGGGAGGCAGCAGUGGGGAAUAUUGGACAAUGGGCGCAAGCCUGAUCCAGCCAUACCGCGUGGGUGAAGAAGGCCUUCGGGUUGUAAAGCCCUUUUGUUGGGAAAGAAAUCCAGCUGGCUAAUACCCGGUUGGGAUGACGGUACCCAAAGAAUAAGCACCGGCUAACUUC